UACGAAGCGGGCUAGCGUUGUUCGGAAUUACUGGGCGUAAAGCGCACGUAGGCGGAUUUGUAAGUCAGGGGUGAGAUCCCGGGGCUCAACCUCGGAACUGCCUUUGAUACUGCAAGUCUCGAGUCCGAGAGAGGUGAGUGGAAUUCCUAGGGUAGAGGUGAAAUUCGUAGAUAUUAGGAAGAACACCAGUGGCGAAGGCGGCUCACUGGCUCGGUACUGACGCUGAGGUGCGAAAGCGUGGGGAGCAAACAGG
rnacentral:rRNA from 1 species